AGUCGAGCGGAACGAGUUGUCUGAACCUUCGGGGAACGAUAACGGCGUCGAGCGGCGGACGGGUGAGUAAUGCCUGGGAAAUUGCCCUGAUGUGGGGGAUAACCAUUGGAAACGAUGGCUAAUACCGCAUAAUAGCUUCGGCUCAAAGAGGGGGACCUUCGGGCCUCUCGCGUCAGGAUAUGCCCAGGUGGGAUUAGCUAGUUGGUGAGGUAAGGGCUCACCAAGGCGACGAUCCCUAGCUGGUCUGAGAGGAUGAUCAGCCACACUGGAACUGAGACACGGUCCAGACUCCUACGGGAGGCAGCAGUGGGGAAUAUUGCACAAUGGGCGCAAGCCUGAUGCAGCCAUGCCGCGUGUAUGAAGAAGGCCUUCGGGUUGUAAAGUACUUUCAGCAGUGAGGAAGGCGGGUGUGUUAAUAGCACAUUCGUUUGACGUUAGCUGCAGAAGAAGCACCGGCUAACUCCGUGCCAGCAGCCGCGGUAAUACGGAGGGUGCGAGCGUUAAUCGGAAUUACUGGGCGUAAAGCGCAUGCAGGUGGUUUGUUAAGUCAGAUGUGAAAGCCCGGGGCUCAACCUCGGAAUUGCAUUUGAAACUGGCAGACUAGAGUACUGUAGAGGGGGGUAGAAUUUCAGGUGUAGCGGUGAAAUGCGUAGAGAUCUGAAGGAAUACCGGUGGCGAAAGGCGGCCCCCUGGACAGAUACUGACACUCAGAUGCGAAAGCGUGGGGAGCAAACAGGAUUAGAUACCCUGGUAGUCCACGCCGUAAACGAUGUCUACUUGGAGGUUGUGGCCUUGAGCCGUGGCUUUCGGAGCUAACGCGUUAAGUAGACCGCCUGGGGAGUACGGUCGCAAGAUUAAAACUCAAAUGAAUUGACGGGGGCCCGCACAAGCGGUGGAGCAUGUGGUUUAAUUCGAUGCAACGCGAAGAACCUUACCUACUCUUGACAUCCUCAGAAGCUUGUAGAGAUACGAGUGUGCCUUCGGGAACUGAGAGACAGGUGCUGCAUGGCUGUCGUCAGCUCGUGUUGUGAAAUGUUGGGUUAAGUCCCGCAACGAGCGCAACCCUUAUCCUUGUUUGCCAGCACUUCGGGUGGGAACUCCAGGGAGACUGCCGGUGAGUAAAACCGGAGGAAGGUGGGGACGACGUCAAGUCAUCAUGGCCCUUACGAGUAGGGCUACACACGUGCUACAAUGGCGCAUACAGAGGGCGGCCAACUUGCGAGAGUGAGCGAAUCCCAAAAAGUGCGUCGUAGUCCGGAUU
rnacentral:rRNA from 1 species